rnacentral:rRNA from 1 species
AUGCGUAGGGGGCGAGCGUUGUCCGGAAUGAUCGGGCGUAAAGGGCGCGUAGGCGGCCCGGUAAGUCUGGAGUGAAAGUCCUGUUUUUAAGAUGGGAAUUGCUUUGGAUACUGUCGGGCUUGAGUGCAGGAGAGGUAAGUGGAAUUCCCAGUGUAGCGGUGAAAUGCGUAGAGAUUGGGAGGAACACCAGUGGCGAAGGCGACUUACUGGACUGUAACUGACGCUGAGGCGCGAAAGUGUGGGGAGCAAACAGGAUUAGAUACCCUGGUAGUCCACACUGUAAACGAUGAAUGCUAGGUGUAGGGGGUAUCGACCCCUUCUGUGCCGCAGUCAACACAAUAAGCAUUCCGCCUGGGGAGUACGGCCGCAAGGUUGAAACUCAAAUGAAUUGACGGGG